CCUGGCGGCACUAGCGCGGUGGUCCCACCUGACCCCAUGCCGAACUCAGAAGUGAAACGCCUAGCGCCGAUGGUAGUGUGGGGUCUCCCCAUGCGAGAGUAGGGAACUGCCAGGC
rnacentral:rRNA from 1 species